AUAACUUCCUCAGUAUUAAAGGCAGGUUCAUGGGGAGGGCAGCGCCAUUAAUCACCAGGCUGAAUGGGGCUGGGAUUUGCUGAGAGACGCGCUUGCUGUCUGCUGCGCCCGCCCGGCUCGGGGCGGGAGGGGGCAGGCAGGGAUGCCCCUCCUGAACUGAAGGGGGAAGAAUGAAAUGAUCAGCUCAAGGACAUACAGCUGGUAGUUACCGUCGGCCGUUGCCAAACCCCCAACUCCCAAGUUUCCCCCAAAGUUGAGUGCUCCUUCAACCCGCCGUAAGAGCAUCUCUGAAUGAGAUAAGCAAAAAUGCACAGCAGAUAUUUUUCUGUUUUCAACAGAUAUUUAUUGAGCACCUAAUAGGUACAAGGCAGUGGGCUUGUGCCCAGGAGAGAGGGGAAUGAUUGCCGACCUCUCAAAACAAUGGAGCAGGGGCUGUAAGGAUAAUUGCUCCGGACAACUCGAACACCACUCAGACGGAUUGCCCGGCCUCCCGGCCCCGACACCUCCCACCACCGCAUCAAGCCAAAUUACUUAGCACCCCCCAGCCCCGGGCUCCGGUGAAAAUCCGAUUAGUGAAGAGAGAGCCGCGCUGAGCUGACAGCAGCUCCGAUAAUUGCUUCCCAAGGAAGCGAUGCAAAUCAGCCCAUCCAGCCUGGCCUGCUCCUCUCCGGGGGACCCCGGCGUCCAGGCCCCAGGAGAAGGAGAACACCUGAGUUGGAGAGACCUGGAAGCUGUCACCUGCCUUCGGUUAAGUGACCAUCAAUCCGUAAAGCUGGUCUGUGCUGCCUUGGGGCUGAGGUGGGGGUGGGGGGUGGUGAGGCUGGACCAGGAACCCCACUGGCUCUGCAUUUCUGUCUUCUCUGGGAGCAUGCCACUCUGCCCCUUAUCUCACCCCUUGGAGAAGUAGGCUCUGUACCCAUUUGCCAGUAAGGUAGAGGAAGGCAGAGCGAUAGAAGACGCGGGAACAGGGUGAACCUGUUAACAAAGCAAUGGAUGUGUCCACGGCCGGGCUUCCCCAGUUCUCCCAUUCUGGGAGGGAGGGGAGAGCGGGACAAGAGAGAGUUCUCCCUUUGUGAGUCACCUCCCCACAAGGUUGGGGGAAAACACUGAACGUUAAGUCCCCACAGAGUUGGGAUGGGCCUUCGAUAUGAUAUAUUUUUGGAGGACUGGGAAGCCUGGUCAGCCUUGAGACUUUUGUGCCUGUACCAAGGAGGACAUGUUUUUGGGAUGCGGUGGCCCUUGCUCACCCCACACGUCAGGGAGUUCUCUCCCCUCCCUUAUUCAAGGUCCUUUGAAGGGCCUGCUAAUACCUUUUUUUUUUAGUGCUUUUCCUUCCUACAUCUUUCCCUCAAGUUCUUUCUUUCUCUGACCCUCUCAUCCAAUUUCCUGAUGAUCUUGGAGAACUUCCCUUGCAAUCCCGAACUUCCGGCCCCCACAGCUAGCCCAUAUGGGUCACUGUCUCUGUGGAAAUCUCCAGGGAUGCGUUGCCCAGUCUUGACCUCUGUGCUUGUGUGUCUGAUAUGGCUCUGUGGCCUGGAUCUUGGGUUGUCCGACUAGCAUCUGCCUGAGACCCGGACACACAGUCGCAACAACAAUAACUAACCUUUCUAGAGCACUAUUCUGUGCUAGCCACGGUACUGAGCACCUAUGUAAUGAAGUCAUUUUUUUUUAAUUAAAAAAAAUCUUUAUUUAUUUUUGAGAGACAGAGCGUGAGCAGGGGAGAAGCAGAGAGAGAGAGGGAGACACAGAAUGUGAAG